UACGGAGGGUGCGAGCGUUGUCCGGAAUCAUUGGGCGUAAAGGGCGCGUAGGUGGCCCGGUCAGUUCGUGGUGAAAGCGCGGGGCUCAACCCUGCGUCGGCCAUGAAUACUGCCGCGGCUGGAGCACUGUAGAGGCAGGGCGGAAUUCCGGGUGUAGCGGUGGAAUGCGUAGAGAUCCGGAAGAACACCGGUGGCGAGGCGGCCUGCUGG
rnacentral:rRNA from 1 species